rnacentral:rRNA from 1 species
GUCCUUUUGUUAUAUAUAUAAGGUUUAACCUGCCCACUGAAUAAUUUAAAUGGCCGCAGUAUUUUAACUGUGCAAAGGUAGCAUAAUCAUUAGUUUUUUAAUUAAAAGCUUGUAUGAAAGGUUGGACGAGGUAAAGACUGUCUUUAUUUAAUUAAUUAUAAAAUUUAAUUUUUAAGUUAAAAAGCUUAAAUUUUUUUAAAAGACGAGAAGACCCUAUAGAUCUUUAUAUUUAAUAUUUUAUUUUUAAUUAAGAUUUAUUUAAGUUUUAUUAUAUUGAAUAUUUUAUUGGGGUAAUAAGAAGAUUAAAAAAAUUCUUUUAUUUUUUAUUCAUUGAUUAGUGUUUAAAUGAUCCAAUUUUAUUGAUUAUAAGAAUAAGUUACCUUAGGGAUAACAGCGUAAUUUUUUUAGAGAGUUCAUAUCGAUAAAAAAGUUUGCGACCUCGAUGUUGGAUUAAAGAUUAAUUUAGGUGUAGAUGUUUAAAUUUUUGGUCUGUUCGACCAUUAAAUCUUUACAUGAUCUGAGUUCAGACCGGUGUAAGCCAGGUCGGUUUCUAUCUUUAAUAAUAUAAUAUAUUUUAGUACGAAAGGACCAAAUAUAUAAUAUAUAAAUAUUUUUUAUUUUUGAAUAUUAUUAAUUACUUUGGCAGAUUAGUGUAAUGAAUUUAGAAUUCAUGUAUGUAAAUAUUUACAAGUAAUACUUGUUUUUUAUAGAUUUAUUAUUUUCUUUUAUUUGUAUGUUAUUAUUAAUUA